AUUGAACGCUGGCGGCAGGCCUAACACAUGCAAGUCGAGCGGAUGAAGGGAGCUUGCUCCUGGAUUCAGCGGCGGACGGGUGAGUAAUGCCUAGGAAUCUGCCUGGUAGUGGGGGAUAACGUCCGGAAACGGGCGCUAAUACCGCAUACGUCCUGAUGGAGAAAGUGGGGGAUCUUCGGACCUCACGCUAUCAGAUGAGCCUAGGUCGGAUUAGCUAGUUGGUGGGGUAAAGGCCUACCAAGGCGACGAUCCGUAACUGGUCUGAGAGGAUGAUCAGUCACACUGGAAGUGAGACACGGUAAAGACUACUACGGGAGGAAGCAGUGGGGAAUAUUGGACAAUGGGCGAAAGCCUGAUACAGAAAUGCCGCGUGUGUGAAGAAGGUCUUCGGAUUGUAAAGCACUUUAAGUUGGGAGGAAGGGCAGUAAGUUAAUACCUUGAUGUUUUGACGUUACCAACAGAAUAAGCACCGGCUAACUUCGUG
rnacentral:rRNA from 1 species